UGACAAUAUGAUUGUAAGUCGCUCUGGAUAAGAGCGUCUGCUAAAUGACUUAAA
rfam:Salmo salar isolate Sally breed double haploid chromosome ssa03, whole genome shotgun sequence.